rnacentral:rRNA from 1 species
UACGAGAGGUCCAAACGUUAUUCGGAAUCACUGGGCUUACAGAGUUCGUAGGCGGUACGGAAAGUGGGGUGUGAAAGCCCUCGGCUCAACCGAGGAACUGCGCUCCAAGCUACCGUGCUAGAGGAAGAUAGAGGUGAGCAGAACUGAUGGUGGAGCGGUGAAAUGCGUUGAUAUCAUCAGGAAUACCGGAGGCGAAGGCGGCUCACUGGGUCUUUUCUGACGCUGAGGAACGAAAGCUAGGGGAGCAAACGGG